rnacentral:misc_RNA from 1 species
ACAUUAUAUGAAGAGCCUAACAGUAGAUGAGUACUAAGAUUUAGACCGACAGAAUCUCUGUUAGUAAUUAAUAAUAAGUUUAGUAAGUGGAAUUUUAAAGUAAUUAUUAUACUCCUAUGAUUAGUAAUAGAAUUUAAACCAACUGUAAUAACCUGAUAGUUAAUAUUAUUGCCAAUGGUGAUGGGGAUACAACGUUAUUUAAUCAGAUUUGGCUACUCUGGGACACGAUUUAAUGGAGCUCAAAAACAACAAAGGCGUGUGGAACUAUCUGAGAGACUUUCACGGCCAGGCUAUUCCUAUUUGGAUUCAAAAUCUGUUCAAGGAGCAAUUGAAUCCGUUUUAUACGAUCUCCGUCCUCGCAAUAAUCCCAUAUUUACUCUCAGUAAUAUCAAUUCGUGAGUUAUCAUUCCAGGACAGACAAAGGAGUUCAUGCAUAUCACAGCUCCGGAUCCGUGGAUUUAGUGCACCCUGUUCGUGGAGACUAUUUUGAUCCUAAGGAAAUUACUUGGACACUCAACUCUGCUCUGGAGUCUCUAGGAUUGGAUAUAAGGUGCUCCUAUUCCAUCCUAUUUAUUUAUUAUAAAUACACACAUUUCAAAACCUGGAAAAAUUUAGAAUUUACAAAACAGUUGCUGUGCCGGGAAUAUUUAAUCCUAGAUGGGCCAAGAAAAGAGUAUAUCACUACAAGUUUGCCGCUCCAAAAGAGAAUUUGUAUACCAUCGUCCCUUCUAUACAAGAUCCAAAAAUAUUCAAAAAUUCGCAGUUCCAUAUAUUGCGUCAGUUUGAACACGAAAUGCUCAAAGAAAAGUUUCCCCAUCAAGGGAUAUUACCCUUGGAAAUUAGGAACGAAAUUGCAGAAUUGAGGAAAUCGAUAAAUGCUAAGAUUUUUGCUGAAGCAUUAGAACAUUUCCAAGGAAAACAUAACUUCGCAUCAUUUUGCCAUAUAGCACACUUAAAAAAACCUAUGGACAUCUUAUUAUGAAGGUCCUUUCAAUGUUGAACAAAUGAUUGCACUCUGUGAAAGAGAGGUUGAUAUUGAGUUCUGCAGUUGGAAGCCAAAUUUAUCAAAUCCUUCCUUAUCGACUUUUUUCAAUUUUUAUCAAAUAAAAUUUACUUCUACGUCAUUUUUAUACAAUCAGAUACGUCGCAUGAUAGGUUCAGCCUUAGAAUCAUCUCGAAAAGGAAGUAUUGAGAAUAUUCAAUUUCUUCUAGCAAAUCCAAAUCCCUCCAAUUGGUCAGGAGUACAUUUAGCAGAUCCCAAGGGUUUACAUUUAUAUGAUAUAGAGUAUUCACUGGAUGUUUUACGUGAUGCUACCGAUAUUUUUUUCUGAGCUCCCAGUUUUGCCAGAGCCUAAUGUUGAUGAGAUUCCUGGAUUUAAAUGGAUAAAUUGGGAAAAAAUAAAAAAUUUUAAAUCUUCAGUCGACAGAUACAAUAUAUCAAGAGCUGAGUACUAUCAAGAUUCAAAGACUAGUUCUUCAUGAUUGACAGUAAAUUUACUCGAGCCAAUUGAAUCUUAAUAUGAUUUAACUGAUUAUUUUCAUGUUUUAAGUUUGUAUCGUUUAAGUUAGUUGUUUGUGUAAGGAAUGUUGAAUUAUAAUAUAACACAAGUUGUUAA